rnacentral:rRNA from 1 species
UUCCGGUUGAUCCUGCCGGAGGCUACCGCUAUUGGAGUUCGAUUAAGCCAUGCGAGUCCAGAGCUUUCGGAGCUCGGCGUACCGCUCAGUAACACGUGGGUAACCUAACCUAUGCAGGGGAAUAACCUCGGGAAACUGAGAAUAAUGCCCCAUAGUCCACUACGCCUGGAACGGUGAGUGGAUCAAAGCUCCGGCGGCAUAGGAUGGGCCUGCGGCGUAUCAGGUUGUAGGGGGUGUAACGUACCCUCUAGCCCUCUACGCGUACGGGUGUUGGGAGACAUAGCCCGGAGAUGGAUUCUGAGACACGAAUCCAGACCCUACGGGGUGCAGCAGGCGCGAAAACUUGGCAAUGCGAGAAAUCGUGACCAGGGAACUCCAAGUGCAUGGGGUAAGACCCAUGCUUUUCUUGACUCUAAAUAGGUCUUGGAAUAAGGGGUGGGUAAGGACGGUGCCAGCCGCCGCGGUAAUACCGGCGCCUCAAGUGGUAGUCGCUUUUAUUGGGCCUAAAACGUCCGUAGCCGGUCUGAUACAUUCGUGGGUAAAUCAACCAGCUUAACUGGUUGAAUUCUGCGAGGACGGUCAGACUUGGGACCGGGAGAGGUGUGGGGUACGCUCAGGGUAGGGGUAAAAUCCUGUCAUCCUGAGCGGACCACCUGUUGCGAAGGCGCCACACUAGAACGGAUCCGACGGUCAGGGACGAAGCCUAGGGGCACGAACCGGAUUAGAUACCCGGGUAGUCCUAGGUGUAAACGCUGUGGACUUGAUGUUGGGGGUGCUCCGAGCACUCUCAGUGUCGAAGCGAAGGUGAUAAGUCCACUGCCUGGGAAGUACGGUCGCAAGGCUGAAACUUAAAGGAAUUGGCGGGGGAGCACCGCAACCUGAGGAUUGUGCGGUUUAAUUGGAGUCAACGCCGGA